UACGUAGGGUGCGAGCGUUAAUCGGAAUUACUGGGCGUAAAGCGUGCGCAGGCGGUUUGAUAAGACAGGCGUGAAAUCCCCGAGCUUAACUUGGGAAUGGCGCUUGUGACUGUCAGGCUAGAGUGCGUCAGAGGGGGGUAGAAUUCCACGUGUAGCAGUGAAAUGCGUAGAGAUGUGGAGGAAUACCGAUGGCGAAGGCAGCCCCCUGGGACGUGACUGACGCUCAUGCACGAAAGCGUGGGGAGCAAACAGG
rnacentral:rRNA from 2 species